GCCAUCGUCAAUAAUGUUCUGCAUAGGCCUUACUUACCUCAGAUCAUCAUGAAGAGUCAAGCUGGACUGGUGCACCGGGAUACCGGAAAUAUUACUGGUGGACUGGUAUAUCUUCAAGGGCAGUGCACUUCCCCCUAGGGGUGACCAGCAGGAUGGGAGUGCACAGCCACAGUAACUACAUGUAGCAUGGCCGAGCGGUCGUUAAUAG